rnacentral:lncRNA from 13 species
AUGACACUGCUUUACUUGGAGGAUGCAUUCAGAUUCAUUUUCUGUGUGGCACUAUUCAUUUUGAAAUUCUUAUUUGAUUCCAUAUACACUGACCCCAUCCUUAUACUGCAAGGCACUGUUAAAAUAGCCUGCAUACUCAAUAAAUGGCUUCUGUACAACAGCUUAUUAGAAAAAAAACACCCUGAUUCAACAAACACAAAAUUACAUCUUCAUAAAUGCAAUCAGAAGAAAACAACAGAGGAAACAGAGAAGAAUCACAGGAACUGUACAUGCUGCUCGUUGAAGCAUAGGUAUCCAGUGGUGUCCACACUGAUAGGAGGAGAUGGCAGAUUCAAGGAAUGGACAAAGUAUUGCUCUGAAUCGAGAAUGGCUGCAUAUAUGAAGCUGUCUGGUCACCUCCGAUGUUGAUGAAUAUCAGUCAGGCAGUUUCUAGACAUUAGAUGAAAAAAUAGACUCACGUCAAUGAUGUUUGCAAAAGAAAAUGUUGGAGUGUAUAAGAAAGAGUAUGUGGGAAUUCUCUGGUGGCUGCUGUUAUUGUGGUUCACUUGCAUUUAAAAAAUAUUUUUACUGUUUUCAAG